CAGUAGCCGCGGGAAUACGUAGGGUGCAAGCGUUAAUCGGAAUUACUGGGCGUAAAGCGUGCGCAGGCGGUUAUAUAAGACAGAUGUGAAAUCCCCGGGCUCAACCUGGGAACUGCAUUUGUGACUGUAUAGCUAGAGUACGGCAGAGGGGGAUGGAAUUCCGCGUGUAGCAGUGAAAUGCGUAGAUAUGCGGAGGAACACCGAUGGCGAAGGCAAUCCCCUUGGCCUGUACUGACGCUCAUGCACGAAAGCGUGGGGAGCAAACAGGAUUAGAUACCCGUGUAGUCCCUGUCUCUUAUAC
rnacentral:rRNA from 1 species